UACGGAAGGCAGCAGUGGGGAAUAUUGCACAAUGGGCGCAAGCCUGAUGCAGCCAUGCCGCGUGUAUGAAGAAGGCCUUCGGGUUGUAAAGUACUUUCAGCGGGGAGGAAGGGAGUAAAGUUAAUACCUUUGCUCAUUGACGUUACCCGCAGAAGAAGCACCGGCUAACUCCGUGCCAGCAGCCGCGGUAAUACGGAGGGUGCAAGCGUUAAUCGGAAUUACUGGGCGUAAAGCGCACGCAGGCGGUUUUGUUAAGUCAGAUGUGAAAUCCCCGGGCUCAACCUGGGAACUGCAUCUGAUACUGGCAAGCUUGAGUCUCGUAGAGGGGGUAGAAUUCCAGGUGUAGCGGUGAAAUGCGUAGAGAUCUGGAGGAAUACCGGUGGCGAAGGCGGCCCCUGGGACGAAGACUGACGCUCAGGUGCGAAAGCGUGGGGAGCAAACGAGGAUUAGGAUACC
rnacentral:rRNA from 1 species